GACGAACGCUGGCGGCGUGCUUAACACAUGCAAGUCGAACGGAAAGGCCCUGCUUUUGUUGGGUGCUCGAGUGGCGAACGGGUGAGUAACACGUGAGUAACCUGCCCUUGACUUUGGGAUAACUUCAGGAAACUGGGGCUAAUACCGGAUAGGAGCUCCUGAUGCAUGGUGGGGGUUGGAGAGUUUCGGCGGUUGGGGAAGGAAUGGCAGGUUAUCCGCUUGUUGGUGGGGUAGUGGCUUACCAAGGCUUUGACGGGUAGCCGGCCUGAGAGGGUGACCGGCCACCUUGGGACUGAGAUACGGCCCAGACUCGUACGGGAGGCAGCAGUGGGGAAUAUUGCACAAUGGGCGGAGGCCUGAUGCAGCAACGCCGCGGGCGGGAUGACGGCCUUCGGGUUGUAAACCGCUUUCGCCUGUGACUAAGCGUGAGUGACGGUAAUGGGUAAAGAAGCACCGGCUAACUACGUG
rnacentral:rRNA from 1 species